rnacentral:rRNA from 1 species
CGGCGUGCUUAACACAUGCAAGUCGUACGAGACGAUUGAAAGCUUGCUUUUGAAAGUCGAGUGGCAAACGGGUGAGUAACGCGUAGACAACCUGCCGUAAAGAUGGGGACAACAGUCCGAAAGGACUGCUAAUACCGAAUGUUGUGGAACUUCCGCAUGGGAGCUCUACUAAAGAUGGCCUCUACUUGUAAGCUAUCGCUUUACGAUGGGUCUGCGUCUGAUUAGCUAGUUGGUGGGGUAACGGCUUACCAAGGCGACGAUCAGUAGCCGGUCUGAGAGGAUGAACGGCCACACUGGAACUGAGACACGGUCCAGACUCCUACGGGAGGCAGCAGUGGGGAAUCUUCCGCAAUGGGCGAAAGCCUGACGGAGCAACGCCGCGUGAGUGAUGACGGCCUUCGGGUUGUAAAGCUCUGUGAUCGGGGACGAAUGGUCAGCAGACGAAUACUCUGCUGAAGUGACGGUACCCGAAUAGCAAGCCACGGCUAACUACGUG